GGCCUUAGCUCAGUCGGUAAAGCAUCAGACUUUUAAUCUGAGGGUCCAGGGUUCAAGUCCCUGUGAUGGGAAAGUCA